rnacentral:rRNA from 1 species
GACGAACGCUGGCGGCGUGCUUAGCACAUGCAAGUCGAACGGAAAGGCCCUGCUUGCAGGGUACUCGAGUGGCGAACGGGUGAGUAACACGUGGGUGAUCUGCCCUGCACUUCGGGAUAAGCUUGGGAAACUGGGUCUAAUACCGGAUAGGAGCCAUCUUUAGUGUGGUGGUUGGAAAGUUUUUUCGGUGUAGGAUGAGCUCGCGGCCUAUCAGCUUGUUGGUGGGGUAAUGGCCUACCAAGGCGGCGACGGGUAGCCGGCCUGAGAGGGUGUACGGCCACAUUGGGACUGAGAUACGGCCCAGACUCCUACGGGAGGCAGCAGUGGGGAAUAUUGCACAAUGGGCGCAAGCCUGAUGCAGCGACGCCGCGUGGGGGAUGAAGGCCUUCGGGUUGUAAACUCCUUUCGCUAGGGACGAAGCUUUUUGUGACGGUACCGAGAUAAGAAGCACCGGCUAACUACGU